rnacentral:tRNA from 1 species
CUGCGGGUUCGAGCCCCG